CCGAAUCUUGUGAGGGGCAUCUUCAAUGUGGAUAGUGGAUAUCGCGCAUCAAGGGAUGAGAAGCAGUUGCACGGUUUCGAAGCCUUUGAAGCCAUGUCACCAUCGUCAAUGAGUCCCUCUCUACCACCAUCUGAUCGGCUCCAAGGAUCAUCCUUGCAUAAAUAAUAUCUUCCUAGGUCGCUCUCAGCGUGACAGUGGGCAC
rnacentral:lncRNA from 1 species